rnacentral:rRNA from 1 species
UACAGGGGGGGCAAGCGUUGUUCGGAAUUACUGGGCGUAAAGGGUUCGUAGGUGGCUUACUAAGUCAGACGUGAAAUCCCUCAGCUUAACUGGGGAACUGCGUCUGAUACUGGAUGGCUUGAAUUCGGGAGAGGGAUGCAGAAUUCCAGGUGUAGCGGUGAAAUGCGUAGAUAUCUGGAGGAAUACCGGUGGCGAAGGCGGCAUCCUGGACCGGCAUUGACGCUGAUGAGCGAAAGCUAGGGGAGCAAACGGG